rnacentral:rRNA from 1 species
CAGCCGCCGCGGUAAUACAGAGGGUGCAAGCGUUAAUCGGAUUUACUGGGCGUAAAGGGCGCGUAGGUGGUUAUGUAAGUGAGAUGUGAAAUCCCCGGGCUCAACCUGGGAACUGCAUCUUAUACUGCGUAGCUGGAGUGCAGUAGAGGGUAGUGGAAUUUCCGGUGUAGCGGUGAAAUGCGUAGAUAUCGGAAGGAACACCUGUGGCGAAAGCGGCUCACUGGACCAUUUCUGACGCUGAUGCACGAAAGCUAGGGGAGCAAACAGGAUUAGAUACCCCGGUAGUCCCUGUCUCUUAUAC